rnacentral:rRNA from 1 species
UACGGAGGGUGCAAGCGUUAUCCGGAUUCACUGGGGUUAAAGGGUGCGUAGGUGGGCAGGUAAGUCAGUGGUGAAAUCUCCGGGCUUAACCCGGAAACUGCCAUUGAUACUAUCUGUCUUGAAUACCGUGGAGGUGAGCGGAAUAUGUCAUGUAGCGGUGAAAUGCUUAGAUAUGACAUAGAACACCAAUUGCGAAGGCAGCUCACUACACGAAUAUUGACACUGAGGCACGAAAGCGUGGGGAUCAAACAGG